rnacentral:lncRNA from 1 species
GCUGGUGGGGAGACAGCAUGCCACUGGAAAAAUUCGUAGACAUGGAAUUCCUGGAUCAAAUGGAGGAGAUGGAAGAUUGAGAGCAGAGUGCAAGAAUGGGAAGAGGGCUUCGUGCCCUGUGCACGUUUGCCACCUAGUGACCAAACUGAAUGGUGUGCUUCUCACCUCAGCGUGAUAGCCUGACCUUGACUCCUGAGUUCCACGAUCGCUUCACAACUGCAAGUCACCAUCAUACAAAAUUUGAGUUUCCCUAAGUCCGCGCCUUUGAGAGCUUUGGAACGAUAUGCAAGUUCAAGUCACCAUCCUGUUUCUUGCUACCUCCUGUGAGAAGACCAACAUUUGGGUUACACUUGUUUCUACUCUUGUUCUUCUGCUUGUUAUUGUUGCCUCUGCAGCCAUUGAUCACACACGUGUUGUCAUACAAAAACUGGUUAGCCUUUUUAUUUGUCUUGUGAAUUUUAUCAUUUGGUUCUUAAGUAUUACAAAUUAAUAUUGUGUACUCUCAUUGAUAUACAACUUGCAGUCAUUGUAAAUAUGCGUGAGUUAGGGGUGAGAAUGGCAUGCAAGCAAAAGAACAAGGAGAGGGAUGAUAGAGAUGCAAGAAGAGUAAAGAGGGCAAGAAAGUUUAUGUUAAUAGCGAACACAAUGAAAGUUCUUUAAAUGCUUGAUAAUGGUGAAAGCAACACUUCCUAGGGCAUAUUUUUGGUGUUAAUGAACCUACACAUCAUACAAUAAAGAAAAUUGAG